GCUUCCCUUUUAUUUGGCCCUUUUCCCACUCUGGCGUAAGCCGUAUCUCACUUCAUCCCCCCCUCACUACUGAAAGGGCAAUAGCAUAGCUGCAUUUGAGUAGUGUAUCGCCACUUACGUGCCCCCAUU
rnacentral:ribozyme from 1 species